rnacentral:rRNA from 2 species
GGACUACCGGGGUAUCUAAUCCUGUUUGCUCCCCACGCUUUCGUGCCUGAACGUCGGUACUGGUCCAGGAAGUCGCUUUCGCCACUGAUGUUCCUUCCGAUAUCUACGCAUUUCACCGCUACACCGGAAAUUCCACUUCCCUCUACCGUACCCUAGCUAUUCAGUCUCGAAUGCAAUUCCCAGGUUGAGCCCGGGGCUUUCACACCCGACUUAGAUAGCCGUCUACGCACGCUUUACGCCCAGUAAUUCCGAUUAACGCUCGCACCCUCUGUAUUACCGCGGCGGCUGGCAC